GCCUUCGUGGUGUAGUGGUAUCAUUGGCGCUUCUUAUUCAUAGCACGCGCUAGACAGAGUGUUCGAUUCCUCUCGAGGGCA